rnacentral:rRNA from 1 species
AUUGAACGCUGGCGGCAGGCCUAACACAUGCAAGUCGAACGAGUGGCGGAAGGGUGAGUAAUGUCUGGGAAACUGCCUGUUGGAGGGGGAUAACUACUGGAAACGGUAGCUAUUACCGCAUACCAUCAGCUGUGCCCAGAUGGGCUUAGCCAGUUGGUGGGGUAACGGCUAACCAAGGCGACGCACCCUAGCCGGUCUGGGAGGAUGACCAGCCACACUGGAACUGAGACACGGUCCAGGCUCCUACGAGAGGCAGAAGUGGGGAAUAUUGCACAAUGGGCGCAAGCCUGAUGCAGCCAGGCCGCGUGUAUGAAAAAGGCCUUCGGGUUGUAAAGGACUUUCAGCGAGGAGGCGUUACCCGCAGAAGAAGCGCCGGCUAACUCCGUGCCAGCAGCCGCGGUAAUUC